UACGUAGGGUGCAAGCGUUGUCCGGAAUUACUGGGCGUAAAGGGCAUGCAGGCGGUCGGACGCGUUUCGGGUGACAGCGGGUGGCUUAACUACCCGAGUGGUCGAAAGACGGUUUGACUUGAGGACGCGAGAGGGACACGGAAUUCCGGGUGGAGUGGUGAAAUGCGUAGAGAUCCGGAGGAACACCGAAGGCGAAGGCAGUGUCCUGGCGCGUAACUGACGCUGAGGUGCGAAAGCCAGGGGAGCGAACGGG
rnacentral:rRNA from 1 species